rnacentral:rRNA from 1 species
GACGGGGAGCAGCAGGCGCGAAACCUUUGCAAUGUGCGCAAGCACGACAAGGUUAAUCCGAGUGGUUUCUGCUAAAGGAACCUUUUGUUAGUCCUAAAAACACUAACGAAUAAGGGGUGGGCAAGUUCUGGUGUCAGCCGCCGCGGUAAAACCAGCACCUCAAGUGGUCAGGAUGAUUAUUGGGCCUAAAGCAUCCGUAGCCGGCUCUGUAAGUUUUCGGUUAAAUCUGUACGCUUAACGUACAGGCCGCCGGGAAUACUGCAGAGCUAGGGAGUGGGAGAGGUAGACGGUACUCCGUAGGAAGGGGUAAAAUCCUUUGAUCUAUGGAUGACCACCUGUGGCGAAGGCGGUCUACCAGAACACGUUCGACGGUAAGGAAUUGGCGGGGGAGCAAACCGGAUUAGAUACCCGGGUAGUCUCAGCUGUAAACUAUGCAAACUCAGUGAUGCAUUGGCUUGUGGCCAGUGCAGUGCCGCAGGGAAGCCGUUAAGUUUGCCGCCUGGGAAGUACGUACGCAAGUAUGAAACUUAAAGGAAUUGGNGGGGGAGCACAAUCUCUANAGGAUCCCGGGUACCGA